UAUAGAAAUACUCCUGCAAAGCUUGCCUUGUAAUUCAAAUCACUUUCCUGUGGAGGAUCAAAAUUCUUGUUUCUCUGUGUUAAGCACAUAGAAUUAAGAAUCAGGAUGAUGCCCCACAACAUUUGCCUAUGUAUUAGAAAGCCAUCCUGAGGUACAUGGAAGGAAAUCGUGAUCUAUCUGGCCCUAAGGGAAGAUGGAAAAAGAGAUAAAAUGGAAAUACAAACUGUGAGCAGUUUCUGCUCUGAACUGUAAACAUCAAUGCGGAAUUUUUAACAGAUGGUGUGGCUCUAUUUUGUUGGUUUCCGGAACUGAGUUCAAAAUUAAGAGGGGCGCUUGGGGUCAUUAGUAUUGUGCCACUGAAGGUAAAUUCUUGGACUGGUGAAAGACAGACCAGAGGGAAAGCAUUUAUCAAUAAUAUUUUCAUUAAUCAAGAAAGAAAGUCAGAGGUUCGAAGAUGAUCAGAAAGCAUCGUAGUUCCGACCACAAACAAUGUGGACUGGAGAUGCAGUUGUAUUAUUCCCAUGAGCCUCCAGGGCAGCUUCCUGGAAACCUAAGUGUUUGGGUUUGGGGGGAGUAUGGUUGCAAAGCUGAAACUUAAAGGAAUUGAUGGAAGGGCACCACUAGGAGUGAAGCCUGCAGCUUAAUUUGACUCAACAUGGGAGACCUCAUCUGGACCAGACACGUACAGAAUUGACAGAUUGAUAACUCUUUCUUGAAUCUGUGGGUGGUGGUGCAUGCCCAUUCUUAUUUGGUGGAGCGAUUUGUCUGGUUAAUUCCAAUAAGGAAGGAGACUCUGGCAUGCUAACUAGUUAAGUGACCCCUGGAGGUCAGCAUCCCCCAACUUCUUAGAGGGACAAGUGGCAUUCAGCCACCUGAGAUUGAGCACUAACAGGUCUUUGAUGCCCUUAGAUGUCUGAGGCUGCAUGUACACUACACUGACUGGCUCAGCCUGUGCCUACUCUAUGCCAGCAGGAGAGAGUAACCCAUUGAAGGUGUAUGUGUUUGUAGUGUUAGUGUGCGGCGUAUAUGUUUGGAGUGUAUUCCCAGUAAGUGCGGGUCAUAAGCUUGCAUUGAUUAAGUCCCUGUCCUUUGUACACACCGCCUGUCACUACUACCAAUUGGGUGGUUUAGUGAGGCCCUCAGAUUGGUCCUGCAGGUGUCUGCCCAUGGUUCUGGCUGAGUACUGAGAAGAAAUGGAACUUUAUUAUCUACAGGAAGUGAAAGUCCCAACAAGGUUUCUGCAGGUUAAAGGGCUCUGGC
rnacentral:ncRNA from 1 species